rnacentral:rRNA from 1 species
CAGCCGCCGCGGUAAUACGUAGGGUGCAAGCGUUAAUCGGAAUUACUGGGCGUAAAGAGCUCGUAGGCGGUUUGUCGCGUCUGUCGUGAAAGUCCGGGGCUCAACUCCGGAUCUGCGGUGGGUACGGGCAGACUAGAGUGAUGUAGGGGAGACUGGAAUUCCUGGUGUAGCGGUGGAAUGCGCAGAUAUCAGGAGGAACACCGAUGGCGAAGGCAGGUCUCUGGGCAUUAACUGACGCUGAGGAGCGAAAGCAUGGGGAGCGAACAGGAUUAGAUACCCCUGUAGUCCCUGUCUCUUAUAC